UAGAGUUUGAUCAUGGCUCAGGAUGAACGCUAGCGGCAGGCUUAACACAUGCAAGUCGAGGGGCAUCGGGAGGAAAGCUUGCUUUCCUUGCCGGCGACCGGCGCACGGGUGAGUAACACGUAUGCAACCUGCCCUCUUCAGGGGGACAACCUUCCGAAAGGGAGGCUAAUCCCGCGUAUAUCGGUUUCGGGCAUCCGAGAUCGAGGAAAGAUUCAUCGGAAGAGGAUGGGCAUGCGGCGCAUUAGCUUGACGGCGGGGUAACGGCCCACCGUGGCGACGAUGCGUAGGGGUUCUGAGAGGAAGGUCCCCCACACUGGUACUGAGACACGGACCAGACUCCUACGGGAGGCAGCAGUGAGGAAUAUUGGUCAAUGGGAGAGAUCCUGAACCAGCCAAGCCGCGUGAGGGAAGACGGCCCUAUGGGUUGUAAACCUCUUUUGUCGGAGAACAAAACCCGGGACGUGUCCCGGACUGCGUGUAUCCGAAGAAAAAGCAUCGGCUAACUCCGUGCCAGCAGCCGCGGUAAUACGGAGGAUGCGAGCGUUAUCCGGAUUUAUUGGGUUUAAAGGGUGCGUAGGCGGUCCGUUAAGUCAGCGGUAAAAUUGCGGGGCUCAACCCCGUCGAGCCGUUGAAACUGGCAGACUUGAGUUGGCGAGAAGUACGCGGAAUGCGCGGUGUAGCGGUGAAAUGCAUAGAUAUCGCGCAGAACUCCGAUUGCGAAGGCAGCGUACCGGCGCCAGACUGACGCUGAGGCUCGAAAGCGUGGGGAGCAAACAGGAUUAGAUACCCUGGUAG
rnacentral:rRNA from 1 species